AAUCUUUGUUUUAUGUAUAUCUCGGGAACUGAGAAUAAUGCCCGAUAGAACAUUAUGCCUGGAAUGGUUUAUGUUUCAAAUGAUUUAUCGCCAUAGGAUGGGACUGCGGCCUAUCAGUUUGUUGGUGAGGUAAUGGCCCACCAAGACUAUUACAGGUACGGGCUCUGAGAGGAGUGGCCCGGAGAUGGGUACUGAGACACGGACCCAGGCCCUAUGGGGCGCAGCAGGCGAGAAAACUUUGCAAUGUGCGAAAGCACGACAAGGUUAAUCCGAGUGGUUUCUGCUAAAGAAACCUUUUGCCAGUCCUAGAAACACUGGUGAAUAAGGGGUGGGCAAGUUCUGGUGUCAGCCGCCGCGGUAAAACCAGCACCUCAAGUGGUCAGGAUGAUUAUUGGGCCUAAAGCAUCCGUAGCUCGUUUUGUAAGUUUUCGGUUAAAUCCAUGCGCUUAACGUAUGGGCUGCCGGGAAUACUGCAUAACUAGGAAGUGGGAGAGGUAGACGGUACUCGGUAGGAAGGGGUAAAAUCCUUUGAUCUAUUGAUGACCACCUGUGGCGAAGGCGGUCUACCAGAACACGUUCGACGGUGAGGGAUGAAAGCUGGGGGAGCAAACCGGAUUAGAUACCCGGGUAGUCCCAGCUGUAAACUAUGCAAACUCAGUGAUGCAUUGGCUUGUGGCCAAUGCAGUGCUGCAGGGAAGCCGUUAAGUUUGCCGCCUGGGAAGUACGUACGCAAGUAUGAAACUUAAAGGAAUUGGCGGGGGAGCAC
rnacentral:rRNA from 1 species